CUCAGAAAAGGACCAAAAAAAAUCUAAAUGUUUAGAACAAUUUAGGUUGGUAGCUUAAAGACAGAAUGUUUCAGUUUUUAGGAGAUUCAUCGAAACACAAUUCACGUAGCUGCAACCAAAACAGCCUUCGAAAUACAUCAGAACAAUGAAGAACAACUUCAGACAGCAUUGAAAGACACUUCGGAUAAAAAUUCCAAUCUUCAGGGAAACACAGAGCUGCUUUCACAAGAAGCUGAAGAGUGGAAAAGGGAAGAGGGAGCAAACAUACUAAGCAGAAUAAAAUGCUAGAAAAUUCUAAAAUGUGUAGGAAACAAGUUCUAAAAUAUGACAAGUCUGAUCAAGCUUCUGUGUGAACACAAGUUAAAGGUGAGAGACUGGGCUACUGUUCUUGGAGACGACGACAUGGAUGCUAAGAACUUGGAUAUAAAAAUGCAACAGAAACGGAGACAUCUUAGAAGAUGAAUCAAAAUUUUGAAGAAUCUUACUAAUGGAGCUGAGUUAUUUAGAAAAUCUUGAUUCAAAAAACAUGAAUGCUCACUAAAUUAACUGAAAGAGGGGAGGUCAUAUUAAAAGUCUGCAAACUGGGAAAGCUUCACCGCACUCAGAAACAAACUAACAGGAAAACGCACACAGAAAGGAGAGGCAAAAUUGCUGGUGGAAAUUUCAAGUCCUUCUUGAACUGAAUCAAAGAAAUGAAAUAUAUUUUCACAAAAUAUCCUAUUUAGACUGUGUUUACCCCAUAAAGAUAGAGGAGAAUCUUCCCAAGGGAGGUGAAAAGAUCAGUCAUGCAUGUGAAGAGAUGGACACCUAUAAAAUAUAAGCCUAAAAGUUUUUAGAAAAAAAAAGGUCAUUGGCCUAUUAUCAAAGCCAGAUUAUUUUCAAUGAGCAAAAUACUCAAAUAACAGGUUGACAGUUCUGUUGUGUGAGUGAAACCUUAAUCAUGUAAGAAAACAAAAUGCCUGCACAUAAGACAAAUUAUUAACAAUUUACAUGUUUCAAAAAAUAUCCUAAUAUCCUUGAUAUUCCAAGUGAAACAUUUAGCAGAGACUUCUGAGGACCACCAGGGCACACUCUGGCUAACCAGAUCUCUGAUGAAGGAGGAGUAUCAAGUUGUGAAGGUGUGCAAAUGCAAGGCCUCAUGCGUGAUAUGGACCGGAUGCCACCCACUACCCAGCCCAGGCUCAGGACUGCAUAAGCAGGGUCCUUCCAACAGACCACUCCCUCCUGACAUAGGAGGUCCUCCAUAAGCGC
rnacentral:lncRNA from 1 species